GACGAACGCUGGCGGCGUGCUUAACACAUGCAAGUCGAACGGAAAGGCCCUGCUUUUGUGGGGUGCUCGAGUGGCGAACGGGUGAGUAACACGUGAGUAGCCUGCCCUUGACUUUGGGAUAACUUCAGGAAACUGGGGCUAAUACCGGAUAGGAGCUCCUGCUGCAUGGUGGGGGUUGGAAAGUUUCGGCGGUUGGGGAUGGACUCGCGGCUUAUCAGCUUGUUGGUGGGGUAGUGGCUUACCAAGGCUUUGACGGGUAGCCGGUCUGAGAGGGUGACCGGCCACAUUGGGACUGAGAUACGGCCCAGACUCCUACGGGAGGCAGCAGUGGGGAAUAUUGCACAAUGGGCGGAAGCCUGAUGCAGCAACGCCGCGUGCGGGAUGACGGCCUUCGGGUUGUAAACCGCUUUCGCCUGUGACGAAGCGUGAGUGACGGUAAUGGGUAAAGAAGCACCGGCUAACUACGUG
rnacentral:rRNA from 1 species